UCCCUAGUGGUCCAGUGAUUAGGACACCAUGCUUUCACUGUGGAAGGCAUAGGUUCAAUCCCUUGUUGGGGAA
rnacentral:tRNA from 1 species